AUGAGCUGCUUGUGGCUGUUGACCCCAAAGCGCUCCUCGCAGAACUUCGAAUCAUCGUGGGACAAUCCCAGCAGUGCGACCAAGGCAGCUCGGCCUGGAAGCUGUAGAACAGGUAGAAGAGGGCCCAGGCCAGGAUGACAAUGUAGUAGACGCAGCCGUGCAGGAUCAUCACCUGGCUGGCGUAGCCGAGACCUGCA